rnacentral:siRNA from 1 species
GUUUCAAAAUAGUGCCUCUACGU